GUUAAAUGGGUCGUAUGGUGGUGGUAAUUUGGAUUUAUCUAUUUCCUUAGUGGACAAUUUUGUUAUCUCUUUGGUGUCCGCCUCAGCAUCAGAGUCUUCUGAAUCAGAUAGCGAGAAAUUGACUAAAGUGUUGCGCUUCGGAGGAGCUGAAGUAGAGUUACUCGAAACGGGAGUUUCUGGGGUGGCGGUGGAAAAUAGUCUACUUCUGAAUGCGCUAGUUUUGGGGACUGAUAAAAAGG
rnacentral:misc_RNA from 1 species